rnacentral:tRNA from 1 species
AUUUCUAUAGUGUAGUGGUUAUCACAUUCAACUAACACACGAAAGGUCCUCAGUUCAAAACUAGGUGGAAACA